GACGAACGCUGGCGGCGUGCUUAACACAUGCAAGUCGAACGAAAAUACCAAGCUUGCUUGGUUGAUUAGUGGCGAACGGGUGAGUAACACGUGAGUAACCUGCCCCUUACUUUCCUGGAUAACUGCUCGAAAGGGUAGCUAAUACGGGAUAUUCUGACCAGCCUGCAUGGGUUGGUUUGGAAAGGUUGUUUUUCUGGUAAGGGAUGGGCUCGCGGCCUAUCAGCUUGUUGGUGGGGUGAUGGCCUACCAAGGCUUUGACGGGUAGCCGGCCUGAGGGGGGGGACGGUCACACUGGGACUGAGAUACGGCCCAGACUCCUACGGGAGGCAGCAGUAGGGAAUAUUGCACAAUGGGAGCAAGCCUGAUGCAGCGACGCCGCGUGAAGGAUGAAGGCCUUCGGGUUGUAAACCUCUUUCGUCAGGGAACAAGGCACUGCUUUUUUGGUGGUGUUGAGGGUACCUGGAUAAGAAGCGCCGGCUAACUACGUG
rnacentral:rRNA from 1 species